rnacentral:lncRNA from 1 species
GGCUGCUCUUGGUUAAGUGUGUCCUGUCAAGAUUUUUCUGUCAGGUUACUAGCAGUGUAGUCCAUUGCACUCUCAACGUCUUCUCCCCAGCUGAAAUGCAUUUACACCCCAUGCAUUAGUUUUAUUUCCCCGGCAAAUGUAUUAUGUGUUCGCAACUUGAAAACAGCAUGACAAAUUGCAAGUAUAUGACAUGAUGCACACAACCACAAAUCUCCUCUGUGUAAUGGAAACUGUCAGACUAAAUAGAUCAUGUUCAGUGUUUCUUGUGUGUGUUUUCUACACACACACACAUGGUCCUUCCUUUUAAAUCUCCUCUGCUACUUAUUGACAUAGUACUACGCACGUACAGUAGUUGAGUAGUUUCAGACCUACAAGACACACAAACAGAAUGAAUUGAUGUGUUUAUAUGCCAUGGAAUUUACUUUACUUAAAGAUGUUACUAUCGUGUCAUAGAAAAUUUGACUUAUAUCUACUAUUUUGUCCAGAUUAGAAAUAUGUUUCUACCAAGAUGCUUUAGAAAAUUUGACUUAUAGAAAAUUUGACUACCAUGAUGCAUUAGUUUUUUAUCAUGUUUCUACCAAGAUGCUUUAGCCAUUUGUUUGUUUUCCUACAGCGAAGUGCGGCUGGACGACUGAGGCUGCUAUUCUGCCUUGAUGUGCACACAAAGAGUUCCUGGACCUGACUUGAAGCAAGGAUACCUGUGGCUGCAAGCCAACAAUAUCUGAAGACAGGUGCUGCUUGUCUAUGUUCUCAGCAUAGCUAUAGGCUGCCAUAUCUUUUUCACUUUCCUUUUCGCUUUGUGUAAUGCUAACUUGACGGUCAGCCUAUAGUUAUGCGAAGAACAUCGGCAAGUAGCACCUGUCUUCAGACAUACACUGCCAUGUCU